CAUAAGUAUUGUGUGGAAUUGGAGCAAGUCACCUAAACAAAACAAUGGAUGGAGGUAAAAGAAAAUGUUCAAAGAAUUUUAAUGACUUUGAAGAAAAAUUUGUUUCAAGAGGUUAACGAGGACAAACAGCAUGAUUCAUCAUCAGAAAACAAGAAAAAUAAUGCCUGGACUACCAUUUGUAAUGAAUUCAACUCAAAUGAAAAAGUUUAACAAAAAGGAUGCUACAACAACUUCAGGGCCUGUGGAAAAACAUAAAAAUAAACUUAAAGAAGACAUGCUGUUGCUCAAAGAGAGCGUUUCAAGACUGUAUAGACCAGCGACCGAGAGAAGAAAAAAAAGCUGGGGGACUUGUUGACCAGGAUCAUUGAUAGCCAGCAACCCCUGGAAGGUAUCCCCGAUGAUGACCAUUUGGACAGUUAAGAUGGGGCACCGUUCCAAUCCUCAUUUGAGGCAGAUCACCAUAGCUUGGAGGGGACUUGUCUUAACAGGACGGUCAGCUCGUUACAUCUGCAGCAGCCAAGAGGGAAGAUUGUGUUAUUAAUCCGGGCCGGAGGACAAAGACAAGGAGGCUGAGCAUGCAUGAGAAACUGCCCAUGGAAUUUCAUGAGUGCAAACUAAUGUAUUUGAAAGGGCAUGAUAUGAAGAUGCAAAUCCUGCAUGUUGAGUUGGCUAUGAAGGAGGAGGAAAGAAACAUGAAGCAGCAGCAGU